rnacentral:misc_RNA from 1 species
GAUGAAGAACGUAGCGAAAUGCGAUAAGUAAUGUGAAUUGCAGAAUUCAGUGAAUCAUCGAAUCUUUGAACUCACAUUGCGCCCGCCAGUAUUCUGGCGGGCAUGCCUGUCCGAGCGUCAUUUCAACCAUCAAGCCCCCGGGCUUGUGUUGGGGACCUGCGGCUGCCCGCAGGCCCUGAAAACCAGUGGCGGGCUCGCUGUCACACCGAGCGUAGUAGCAAUCACCUCGCUCAGGGCGUGCUGCGGGUUCCGGCCGUUAAACAGCCUUACAAAACCCAAGGUUGACCUCGGAUCAGGUAGGAAGACCCGCUGAACUUAAGCAUAUCAAUAAGCGGAGGA